rnacentral:rRNA from 1 species
AUUGAACGCUGGCGGCAGGCCUAACACAUGCAAGUCGAGCGGAGCGGCGGACGGGUGAGUAAUGCCUAGGAAUCUGCCUGGUCGUGGGGGAUAACGUCCGGAAACUGGCGCUAAUACCGCAUACUAUCAGAUGAGCCUAGGUCGGUUUAGCUAGUUGGUGGGUUAAAGGCCUACCAUGGCGACGAUCCGUAACUGGUCUGAGAGGAUGGUCAGGCAGACGGGAACGGAGACACGGGCCAGACUCCUACGGGAGGCAGCAGUGGGGAAUAUUGGGGAAUGGGCGAAAGCCUGAUACAGCCAUGUCGCGUGUGUGAAGAAGGUCUUCGGAUUGUAAAGCACGUUAAGCUGGGAGGCGUUACCAAAAGAAUAAGCACCGGCUAACUUCGUGCCAGCAGCCGCGGUAAUAC